CACGUAGUUAGCCGUCCCUUUCUGGUAAGCUACCGUCACAGUGUGAACUUUCCACUCUCACACCCGUUCUUGACUUACAACAGAGCUUUACGAUCCGAAAACCUUCUUCACUCACGCGGCGUUGCUCGGUCAGGGUUGCCCCCAUUGCCGAAGAUUCCCUACUGUUGCCUCCCGUAGGAGUCUGGGCCGUGUCUCAGUCCCAGUGUGGCCGAUCACCCUCUCAGGUCGGCUAUGUAUCGUCGCCUAGGUGAGCCAUUACCUCACCUACUAGCUAAUACAACGCAGGUCCAUCUUGUAGUGGAGCAAUUGCCCCUUUCAAAUAAAUGACAUGUGUCAUCCAUUGUUAUGCGGUAUUAGCUAUCGUUUCCAAUAGUUAUCCCCGCUACAAGGCAGGUUACCUACGCGUUACUCACCCGUUCGCAACUCAUCCAAGAAGAGCAAGCUCCUCUCUUCAGCGUUCUACUUGCAUGUAUUAGGCACGCCGCAGCGUCGU
rnacentral:rRNA from 1 species